rnacentral:tRNA from 1 species
AGGGAUGUAGCUCAGUGGUACAGCACCUGCCUGGCAAGUGGGAGGCCCUGAGUUCGAAACCCUGUACCCUCC